ensembl:lncRNA novel transcript, antisense to CD36
GCGUGGACAAUGGAUUGGAGAAGGGCGAACAUUCAGUCAGAGACUUUGUGAGCUUACUGUAAAUUAGAGGGAGCAAAUUGGAGGAGAAAUGACAAAAGAAACAGAAAAAAUGUUUAAUCAGACAAAGGAACUAAAAAACCUCAGUCUUAAUUAGAAGAUGGUCAAACAAAUCUCUUAACUGAUGUUCACAAUGAUGGUUUCAAGUCAUCUAAGGAAUGGGAUCUCACUCUAUCACCCAGAUUGGAGUGCAGUGGCACAAUAAUGAUGCACUACCUUGAUCUCCCAGGCUCAAGUGAUCCUCCAGCCUCAGCCUCUCAA